UACGUAGGGUGCGAGCGUUAAUCGGAAUUACUGGGCGUAAAGCGUGCGCAGGCGGUUCGUUGUGUCGGCGGUGAAAGCCCCGGGCUCAACCUGGGAAUGGCCGUUGAAACUGGCGAACUGGAGUGUGGCAGAGGGGGGUGGAAUUCCAGGUGUAGCGGUGAAAUGCGUAGAGAUCUGGAGGAACACCGAUGGCGAAGGCAGCCUUCUGGGCCAACACUGACGCUCAUGCACGAAAGCGUGGGGAGCAAACAGG
rnacentral:rRNA from 1 species